CCGCAGGAGAGAGUCACCAGAUCCUUCAGGAGAUCCAGACACACUGGACAGAUGAACUGGUCCUGAUCUACUGAAAUGUUGGCUGUGGCCAUGUUCCCAGAGAGAGAGAGAGAGCAACACUGAUCAGUUCACGCUCUAUAUCCGUGCUGGCAGCAGGAAGAGCCUUGUUCAGGACGGCAAGAACUUCGUGGGAGAACCGGAACCAGGACCGGAACCAGGACCGGGUAACAACGGGGAAACAGGGAAAAGCCAUUUAGAUCAUUUCAGCCAAGAAAACCCACCUGUACACUGACAGACUAAUUGAGCAACACCAUUAUUCAGAUUAUAGAGACUCCUUCCAUGGACGUUACACCUCUCCUUACCAACGAUUUUCUGUUAUGUGUCUAAAACGAGUGAACUGUAACCAUGGAAACAUAAACAUACUAGAAGCUGGUAGUCUGAGAGCAUGAAUAUAAACCCGUGUUCCUGUCAGAGCACUGAGAAGUUACUGAGGAGUUAAAGUGAGAUGUGCUCACGGUCCUC